rnacentral:rRNA from 1 species
UACGUAGGGUGCGAGCGUUAAUCGGAAUUACUGGGCGUAAAGCGUGCGCAGGCGGUUUUGUAAGCCAGAUGUGAAAGCCCCGGGCUCAACCUGGGAAUGGCAUUUGGGACUGCAAGGCUGGAGUAUGGCAGAGGAGACUAGAAUUCCUGGUGUAGCAGUGAAAUGCGUAGAUAUCAGGAGGAACACCGAUGGCAAAGGCAGGUCUCUGGGCUGACACUGACGCUCAUGCACGAAAGCGUGGGGAGCAAACAGG